CGGAUAGAAGCCCGCUGGGUUGGGUGUUUAGCUGUUAAUUAAUUUUUUGCGGGAUCGAGGCCCGCCUGUCCAG
rnacentral:tRNA from 1 species